rnacentral:piRNA from 1 species
UCCCCCACAGGUGAGACCACGUGGAAUA